rnacentral:rRNA from 1 species
UACGUAGGUGGCGAGCGUUGUCCGGAUUUACUGGACGUAAAGGGAGCGUAGGCGGACUUUUAAGUGAGAUGUGAAAUACCCGGGCUCAACUUGGGUGCUGCAUUUCAAACUGGAAGUCUAGAGUGCAGGAGAGGAGAAUGGAAUUCCUAGUGUAGCGGUGAAAUGCGUAGAGAUUAGGAAGAACACCAGUGGCGAAGGCGAUUCUCUGGACUGUAACUGACGCUGAGGCGCGAAAGUGUGGGGAGCAAACAGGAUUAGAUACCCU